rnacentral:miRNA from 1 species
UCCCUGUGUGCUCUUCUCUUUUAGG